rnacentral:rRNA from 1 species
UACGGAGGGGGCUAGCGUUGUUCGGAAUUACUGGGCGUAAAGCGCACGUAGGCGGCUUUGUAAGUUAGAGGUGAAAGCCCGGGGCUCAACUCCGGAAUUGCCUUUAAGACUGCAUCGCUAGAAUUGUGGAGAGGUAAGUGGAAUUCCGAGUGUAGAGGUGAAAUUCGUAGAUAUUCGGAAGAACACCAGUGGCGAAGGCGACUUACUGGACGACUGUUGACGCUGAGGUGCGAAAGCGUGGGGAGCAAACAGG